AACGAACGCUGGCGGCAGGCCUAACACAUGCAAGUCGAGCGGACCCUUCGGGGUUAGCGGCGGACGGGUGAGUAGCGCGUGGGAACGUGCCCUUUGCUUCGGAAUAGCCCUGGGAAACUGGGAGUAAUACCGGAUACGCCCUUUUGGGGAAAGAUUUAUCGGCGAAGGAUCGGCCCGCGUUGGAUUAGGUAGUUGGUGGGGUAAUGGCCUACCAAGCCGACGAUCCAUAGCUGGUUUGAGAGGAUGAUCAGCCACACUGGGACUGAGACACGGCCCAGACUCCUACGGGAGGCAGCAGUGGGGAAUCUUAGACAAUGGGGGAAACCCUGAUCUAGCCAUGCCGCGUGAGCGAUGAAGGCCUUAGGGUUGUAAAGCUCUUUCACCGGGGAAGAUAAUGACGGUACCCGGAGAAGAAGCCCCGGCUAACUCCGUG
rnacentral:rRNA from 1 species